rnacentral:lncRNA from 1 species
GUACUUGUUAUCUCAACACUGAUGAAUAUCUAAAAUCCUGACACUUUUGUUAUUCCAGCAAAUUUCCUACAAGAAAAAAACAAAAAUGAGUUUCUAUCAGAACUCGAAAACAUAAUCAACGAAGAAAAUUAUAGAUAAGAAGACAAGAUUUACGUUGAAAAACCCAAAACAGUAAGGGGGGAGAAGAAAAAAAACACUGGUGAGAGACGGGAGAUUCACUAAUCAAACAUAGCAGUCCAUAGCGCAGGGAUCCACCUCGCAAACAAAAGUAAGAAACAAGGCGAAAGAAUACAAGAUAGGUCACUAAGACCAACAGGAGCACGGAUUAUGUGAACUGCAGAUAAUCUUUAUAUAUAUAAACAUUUCGUACUCUAUAAGAUGAAAAUUAAGAUCUUACAAUUGAUUCUUGUAGCAAUCAGCCAAGCUUACGAAAGUGAUUUAGAUAUUGCCACAAGGAAAGUUACACACUGAUUCUGUAAUUUGUUAACACAUUACCACCAUCUUACAAAGAGUUUCAUAACUUGUAUCAGUUAUAAUUAUGUACUUCUUCACUCAAAGCAGCAUCUGUCAUAGUUCAUAGUUCUUCUGUUCUUUGUAAUUUUCGAGAAGUAAACUUAAUACAAAGAGGUGCAUGUUAAUGACCGGUAGCUAGGCAUUAAAUUUUGACAAGGAUUGGUUCCAUUUUCAUUACAUCAACUUUCAGCAAAUUGCAAAAAUAUUAUUUGUUCUCCAUGAGAGUUAGGAAAGCCACUUUAUCUUUGUUAAAAAUAUGUUAGGAAUACUGAUUAAGCACCUGGCUUGAAGUAGCAUGGCGAAGAUUAAUAGGAUUGUCCCGAGUAGUACUUGCAAAUACAUAGGUAACUGGAUCUGAAGUCUCAACCAGAAGUUCGACUUGUAUUCUAACAUCUGAAUCACUAACAAUGCAACAAAAUGUACACUCUGCGCAAGAGGGAACAAAACAAUACUGUCCCAUCAGCAAAAAAAACUAACCAGAAAAAUAAAUAUAAAAAAACAUGACCAGAAAUAGUCAGAAAGACCCCCUACCUCAAAAACAAGGUUUGCAGUGUAUGAAUCUGCAGCUAAACAGAAACUACAGGAACUAUAACAAUUAUACCAAAAAAACAAACCACUGCAAAGUGAAAAACAGCUUUCCUUUAGCUUAAGAAUAAAACAACACAAUGAAAAUCCAAGACAACACUCGCACUUUGAAGUUUGAACAAUGUAAUAUUAACCAAUAAAAAGAAAAGCAGAAAUUCCGUCAAAAUAAUUGUCUAGAUGUACAAUGGUAUUUCAGAUAUCAAUUUCAUAACACGGUUAACUCCAAAACCAAAAAGACUACAGAAUUACCUGCAUCUGCAGCUUAAGGAAAAGCAUUCACAUAACAGCUACUCCCAUUUCUGGAAAAAAGAACACAGCACAAAACUAUCAGAAAAGCCACAGUAGUUUAGUCCAGUAAAGUUUAGUUGUCAGAAAUGCAAACAGACCAACAAGAAUCAAAAACUAAUCAAACCAAAUUUUUCAAAAAACUUGUAGCCUAAACCAAAGUUAUCAAACCAGAUGAUUGGCAACAAAAUCAAACCAGAUACAAAUUACCUUUUAAAUUUUUCACACACUAACCAAUAACUUGAAAAGAUAGCAAAACAGAAAAAUAGCAUACAUUCAAGUUAUCUAAAAACAGAUAUUUACCUCUUUGAAACAAUUUCUAAUUCCACCAUAACCCUUAUCUUUCAUCUGAACUCAAAAUUUCAAAUAAUAAUAAUUUAAGAUGUUGAGAUCUUUAGAAUAAUAUAACCUUACAUCUGAUGAAUCAACAGCAAUUCAUCUAGUCACUCUUGAUUUUUACAUCCAAUGGAUUAUAAAAUUUUGCUAAUUUGUUCAAAUGUCCAAUAUAGCUUAGUUUUAUUUUUAUUUCCUCUAACAGAAAUUUAGUAACAAAAUGUCAUCUUAAAGUAACAAAUUUUAUUGCACGAAGGACUUAUUACUUCAAGCAAAUUUAGCCAUCUUAUUUCUCUCAAUACUAAUAAUGAAGGGGAAGGAAAUUGGUGUAUCAGCAAGUCGGAAUUUCGUAAAAAAAACAAGAAGCAUCCAUAGAGUCCCCCUCCCCUCUCACACACUUAAAGGCCAAAAGGAAAUACACUUAUAUGUAUGAAAGUAUUAUAUGCCCAGAAUAACUUAAAUGAAAGUUAUUAUCAUCAUAACUCGAGCAAGAACCAUCUGCUAUCAAAAAAAAAUUGACAAGAUUACAAGCAAUUAUGGAACUAUACCUACUUUUUUCUUUUCUUUUCCUUUUAAAAGUAUUUAAAAUGGGAAAUAGAGAGAAAAGUUUGGAAUAUUUUACCAACGGCCUUGAGAAAGCUGUGCUCUGAACUGGUGGCAAAAAUAAUAGUCUCUCUGGAGGAACUGCCAAAUCACAUCUUCAGCCAGCCAAGAGUUCUAUAGCUCAGUUGGUUCUUCUGUAAUUUCUCUGGGACUGGAUUCCUGCAAAUGUUCCUCUGCCUGCUCUCUCAUUUGAAUCAGUUAGCAGAGAGACAACAGAAUCAGAGAAGAACUUGGGUUUUUGUAGGAGUAUUCCAGAAUG